rnacentral:rRNA from 1 species
UAGGGAAUCUUCGGCAAUGGACGCAAGUCUGACCGAGCAACGCCGCGUGAGUGAAGACGGUUUUCGGAUCGUAAAGCUCUGUUGUAGGGGAAGAACGUGUGUAAGAGUGGAAAGCUUACACAGUGACGGUACCCUACCAGAAAGGGACGGCUAACUACGUGCCAGCAGCCGCGGUAAUACGUAGGUCCCGAGCGUUGUCCGGAUUUAUUGGGCGUAAAGGGAGCGCAGGCGGUUUAGUAAGUCUGAAGUUAAAGGCAUUGGCUCAACCAAUGUAUGCUUUGGAAACUGUUAGACUUGAGUGCAGAAGGGGAGAGUGGAAUUCCAUGUGUAGCGGUGAAAUGCGUAGAUAUAUGGAGGAACACCGGUGGCGAAAGCGGCUCUCUGGUCUGUCACUGACGCUGAGGCUCGAAAGCGUGGGUAGCGAACAGGAUUAGAUACCCUGGUAGUCCACGCCGUAACGCUGAGUGCUAGGUGUUAGGUCCUUUCCGGGACUUAGUGCCGACGCUNACGCAUUAAGCACUCCGCCUGGGGAGUACGACCGCAAGGUU